GAACAUGUAAACAUGUCUCCCCUCCCAGUGGGUACCGCAAGCCGAUGAAGGCGAGAAGUACUCACCGGAUCAGGAAGAGAUAAACAACAAUAUGGGUAAGUGAAAUACUAAAUACAGUAGCAACAAUAAUGAACGAAAGAGAUAGAACUAUAAAUAAAAGCACAACUACCGCUACUGUAAUGAACAACUGAAAGUAUACAUGCAGCUAAACUAU
rnacentral:lncRNA from 1 species